UUUUUUUUUCCUCCUUUUUUGGGGUACUGGCUGAUUGUCCCCUGCAAGUGUUGCCUUCUUUUCCCUUCCUUCCCUAAGGUGUUCUUAUCUUCUAAGUGACGGCUGUAGAGAGCCUCUAAGAAAUCAGUGUGAGAGGUGCUUAUUAUGUAAUAGUUAUGGGUGCGUGAUUCAUUCUCCAUGCAUAUUUAUGAGGAAAUGCAGCGGAGACAACUUCAUUCUCCAUGCAUAUUUCUGAAGAAAUCAAGGGGAAGGAUGUUGAUUUCCUAGGCUAGAGGAGCUAGAGGAUGGCUGAGAGUCCAAAAGUCAAUGUUGUUGAUAGACUUCUAUGGACAUUGUGAAUCUUCAUAGAUGAUUACCAUAUUUGACUUGAAUUGCAGUUUCUUAGAUGCUCCUAUAUACAAAGCAUUAUUUAUGGGUUUACUUUAAAUUCCAUUGCUUCCCUCUUUGACUUUGCUCUUCCACUGCCGGCAGGUUAGCCGGCAAGGACAUGGGCAAAGGACAUGGGCAAAGGACACGAGCAAUGCAACUCUGGGAAAAGUCUAAGUUAAUUGUUGGUGAGAAUUAUUGCAUUAGAUCUCAUUGAAAAAUAUUGGGAGUGCUUAUGUGUGUGGUGUGGUGGACUAUUAGUUUGAAUAAUUGAUGGUUUAUAAAUCCUUAAUGGUGUCAUGAUCUUUUGUUUUUUUCUUUUUCUGCAUGUGAUGUUCAUGUUAUAACUUGUUUUGUUGCUUUUGUUAGGGAGCGGAUUAAUGCUUUGGGUGGCCAUCCCAUCCGGUUUCUACUUUAGAUGGAAGAAAUGAAAUGGGAAAAAUUCUGUUGGAUAAACCUUUGUUGGAUAACCUUUGUGACCAUGGAUGGAAAUUGUGCAUGAUCAAUCUUAUUUAGUGACUUCUAUCCCUGGCAUGGCAUGUAAUUUUGGUAACAAGAUUCUGGUAUUCAAGGUA
rnacentral:lncRNA from 1 species